UACGUAGGGGGCAAGCGUUGUCCGGAAUCAUUGGGCGUAAAGCGCGUGUAGGCGGUUCGGUAAGUCUGCUGUGAAAGUCCAGGGCUCAACCCUGGGAUGCCGGUGGAUACUGUCGGACUAGAGUACGGAAGAGGCGAGUGGAAUUCCAGGUGUAGCGGUGAAAUGCGUAGAGAUCUGGAGGAACACCCGUGGCGAAGGCGGCUCCCUGGUCCGAUUCUGACGCUGAGACGCGAAAGCGCGGGGAGCGAACGGG
rnacentral:rRNA from 1 species